rnacentral:lncRNA from 1 species
CACCUUGUGUAAAAAAGCUAGAGGACUGAUCUAUACAAGAUGACGUGCAGCACGCUUUUUAAAGUGACGUUGAACGCCUUUUGCACUCUUUCGGUUGUACUGGCAGAGAAUCAACCACAGAGUUGCUACUUAUAUCAAUUCAGUCCAACGGAUACGACUCCUGUUUCAGACGUCAGUAAGUUUAGCGAGACACUUGACACUUAACCUUAAGUUCUUGCUCAAAAACGUACGCGUAAUCUGCUGGAGUACACAAGCCAUACGAUAGAAUAAACCUGGAAGCAUAGAAAUCGACUGUCAAGGAUAAAUUAUAUCCUGCUUGUCGGUAAUAAUUUUACAA